GAUGAACGCUGGCGGCGUGCCUAAUACAUGCAAGUCGAGCGAACGGACGAGAAGCUUGCUUCUCUGAUGUUAGCGGCGGACGGGUGAGUAACACGUGGAUAACCUACCUAUAAGACUGGGAUAACUUCGGGAAACCGGAGCUAAUACCGGAUAAUAUUUUGAACCGCAUGGUUCAAAAGUGAAAGACGGUCUUGCUGUCACUUAUAGAUGGAUCCGCGCUGCAUUAGCUAGUUGGUAAGGUAACGGCUUACCAAGGCAACGAUGCAUAGCCGACCUGAGAGGGUGAUCGGCCACACUGGAACUGAGACACGGUCCAGACUCCUACGGGAGGCAGCAGUAGGGAAUAUUCCGCAAUGGGCGAAAGACUGACGGAGCAACGCCGCGUGAGUGAUGAAGGUCUUCGGAUCGUAAAACUCUGUUAUUAGGGAAGAACAUAUGUGUAAGUAACUGUGCACAUCUUGACGGUACCUAAUCAGAAAGCCACGGCUAACUACGUG
rnacentral:rRNA from 1 species